rnacentral:rRNA from 1 species
GAGUCCGCUGAACUUAAGCAUAUCAAUAAGCGGAGGAAAAGAAACCAACAGGGAUUGCCCUAGUAACGGCGAGUGAAGCGGCAACAGCUCAAAUUUGAAAGCUGGCUCUCGGGCCCGCAUUGUAAUUUGCAGAGGAUGCUUCUGGCGACGCGCCUUCCGAGUUCCCUGGAACGGGACGCCAUAGAGGGUGAGAGCCCCGUCCGGUCGUGCGCCUAGCCUCUGUGAAGCUCCUUCGACGAGUCGAGUAGUUUGGGAAUGCUGCUCAAAAUGGGAGGUAUACGUCUUCUAAAGCUAAAUACCGGCCAGAGACCGAUAGCGCACAAGUAGAGUGAUCGAAAGAUGAAAAGCACUUUGAAAAGAGAGUUAAAAAGUACGUGAAAUUGUUGAAAGGGAAGCGCUCAUGACCAGACUUGGGCUGGCCCGAUCAUCCGGCGUUCUCGCCGGUGCACUCGGGCCGCCCAGGCCAGCAUCAGCUUUCGCCGGGGGAUAAAGGCGGCGGGAAUGUGGCUCCCUCGGGAGUGUUAUAGCCCGCCGUGCAAUACCCUGGUGGGGGCUGAGGUUCGCGCGUAUGCACGGAUGCUGGCGUAAUGGUUAUCAGCGACCCGUCUUGAAACACGGACCAAGGAGUCGUCUUCGUAUGCGAGUGUUCGGGUGUCAAACCCCUACGCGGAAUGAAAGUGAACGCUGGUGAGAGCUUCGGCGCAUCACCGACCGAUCCUGAUGUUCUCGGACGGAUUUGAGUAAGAGCAUACGGGGCCGGACCCGAAAGAAGGUGAACUAUGCCUGUAUAGGGUGAAGCCAGAGGAAACUCUGGUGGAGGCUCGCAGCGGUUCUGACGUGCAAAUCGAUCGUCAAAUAUGGGCAUGGGGGCGAAAGACUAAUCGAACAUCAUAAGGG